rnacentral:rRNA from 1 species
UGAAUACGAGAUGCUACGGCGUCGAAGCAGUCUAUGUCAUACUUCCAAGAAAAGCUUGCACUGUCAUAAACAAAUAAUGCCUGUACCAUAACCGACACAGGUGGGUAGGUAGAGUAUACUAAGGGGCGCGAGAUAACUCUCUCUAAGGAACUCGGCAAAAUGACUCCGUAACUUCGGGAGAAGGAGUGCCUUAUUUAUAAGGUUGCAAUAACAAGACCCAAGCAACUGUUUAUCAAAAACACAGGUCUCCGCUAAGUCGUAAGACGAUGUAUGGGGGCUGACGCCUGCCCAGUGCCAGAAGGUUAAAGAAGUUGGUUAGCAUUAGCGAAGCUGAUGACUGACCCCCUGGUGAACGGCGGCCGUAACUAUAACGGUCCUAAGGUAGCGAAAUUCCUUGUCGGGUAAGUUCCGACCCGCACGAAAGGCGUAAUGAUUUGGGUACUGUCUCAGAGAGGGACUCGGUGAAAUAGACUUGUCUGUGAAGAUGCGGACUACCUGCACCUGGACAGAAAGACCCUAUGAAGCUUUACUGUAACCUGAAAUUGAAAUUGGACUUUAUUUGCGCAGUAUAGGUGGGAGGCUUUGAAGAUAUUCUUGCGGGAAUGUUGGAGCCAUCAGUGAGAUACCACUCUUGUAAUGUUAGAUUUCUAACUUUGUAUCAUUAUCUGGUCAAAGAACAGUUUCAGGCGGGCAGUUUGACUGGGGCGGUCGCCUCCUAAACGGUAACGGAGGCGCACAAAGGUUUCCUCUGAACGGGUAGAAAUCGUAUCUAGAGUGUAAAGGCAUAAGGAAGCUUGACUGUGAGACCUACAAGUCGAGCAGGGACGAAAGUCGGUCUUAGUGAUCUGACGGUGCUGAGUGGAAAGGCCGUCACUCAACGGAUAAAAGUUACUCUAGGAUAACAGGCUGAUCUCCCCCAAGAGUUCACAUCGACGGGGAGGUUUGGCACCUCGAUGUCGGCUCAUCGCAUCCUGGGGCGGUAGUACGUCCCAAGGGUUGGGCUGUUCGCCCAUGAAAGCGGUACGCGAGCUGGGUUCAGAACGUCGUGAGACAGUUCGGUCCAUAUCCGGUGUAGGCGUUAGAAUAUUGAGAGGAGCCUUCUCUAGUACGAGAGGACCGAGAAGGACACACCUCUGGUGUACCAGUUAUCGUGCCAACGGUAAACGCUGGGUAGCUAUGUGUGGAGCGGAUAACCGCCGAAAGCAUCAAAGUGGGAAGCCCACCUCAAGAUAAGUAUUCUCAU